AUCCAGCUGACGAGUCCUAAAUGGGACGAAACGCGCGUCCAGUAU
rnacentral:hammerhead_ribozyme from 1 species